rnacentral:rRNA from 1 species
GUGUUCCUUGAGGAGUGGCUUCCGGAGCUAACGCGUUAAGUCGACCGCCUGGGGAGUACGGCCGCAAGGUUAAAACUCAAAUGAAUUGACGGGGGCCCGCACAAGCGGUGGAGCAUGUGGUUUAAUUCGAUGCAACGCGAAGAACCUUACCUACUCUUGACAUCCAGAGAACUUAGCAGAGAUGCUUUGGUGCCUUCGGGAACUCUGAGACAGGUGCUGCAUGGCUGUCGUCAGCUCGUGUUGUGAAAUGUUGGGUUAAGUCCCGCAACGAGCGCAACCCUUAUCCUUUGUUGCCAGCGGUUCGGCCGGGAACUCAAAGGAGACUGCCAGUGAUAAACUGGAGGAAGGUGGGGAUGACGUCAAGUCAUCAUGGCCCUUACGAGUAGGGCUACACACGUGCUACAAUGGCGCAUACAAAGAGAAGCGACCUCGCGAGAGCAAGCGGACCUCAUAAAGUGCGUCGUAGUCCGGAUCGGAGUCUGCAACUCGACUCCGUGAAGUCGGAAUCGCUAGUAAUCGUAGAUCAGAAUGCUACGGUGAAUACGUUCCCGGGCCUUGUACUCCCCGGCCCGUCAAAA